rnacentral:rRNA from 1 species
UACGAAGGGGGGCUAGCGUUGCUCGGAAUCACUGGGCGUAAAGGGCGCGUAGGCGGACUUUUUAAGUCAGGGGGUGAAAUCCUGAGGCUCAACCUCAGAACUGCCUUUGAUACUGAGGGUCUCGAGACCGGUAGAGGUAAGUGGAAACUGCGAGUGUAGAGGUGAAAUUCGUAGAUAUUCGCAAGAACACCAGUGGCGAAGGCGGCUCACUGGCCCGGUACUGACGCUGAGGGUGCGAAAAGCGUGGGGGAGCAAACAGG